GUAUAAGAGACAGCAGUAGCCGCGGUAAUACAGAGGGUGCGAGCGUUAAUCGGAUUUACUGGGCGUAAAGCGUGCGUAGGCGGCUUUUUAAGUCGGAUGUGAAAUCCCUGAGCUUAACUUAGGAAUUGCAUUCGAUACUGGGAAGCUAGAGUAUGGGAGAGGAUGGUAGAAUUCCAGGUGUAGCGGUGAAAUGCGUAGAGAUCUGGAGGAAUACCGAUGGCGAAGGCAGCCAUCUGGCCUAAUACUGACGCUGAGGUACGAAAGCAUGGGGAGCAAACAGGAUUAGAUACCCCUGUAGUCCCUGUCUCUUAUAC
rnacentral:rRNA from 1 species